GCGCAUAUAGCUCAGUGGUAGAGCACAUGCUUAGCAUGCGUAAGGUUCCUGGGUUCAAUCCCUAGUGCCUCCA
rnacentral:tRNA from 1 species